UAGUAUCUGUUCUUAUCAGUUUAAUAUUUGAUAUGUCCUUUAUUUGAGGACUGUAUAUUAAAUUGAUUUUUGAAACAGGGGGAUGGAAUAGGCACUUGCUCUGUCCACCCCAUGCAUUGACCUGGUAUUGCAGUGCCUCCAGGACUGGUAG
rnacentral:snRNA from 1 species